rnacentral:rRNA from 1 species
GGCUUAGAGUUUGAUCCUGGCUCAGGACGAACGCUGGCGGCGUGCCUAAUGCAUGCAAGUCGAACGCACUCGCUUCGGCGAGUGAGUGGCGCACGGCUGAGUAACACGUGGGAACCUGCCCCCCGGUGGGGGAUAACGCGACGAAAGUUGCGCUAAUCCCGCAUACGUCCCCAGGGAGAAAGCGCCUCCGCGCGCCGGGGGAGGGGCCUGCGGCCCAUCAGGUCGUUGGUGGGGUAAUGGCCUACCGAGCCCAUGACGGGUAGCUGGUCUGGGAGGAUGACCAGCCAGACUGGGACUGAGACACGGCCCAGACUCCUACGGGAGGCAGCAGCAAGGAAUUUUCGGCAAUGGGCGCAAGCCUGACCGAGCAACGCCGCGUGCGGGAUGACGGCCUUCGGGUUGUAAACCGCUUUUCGGGGGGACGACCCUGACGGUACCCCCGGAACAAGCCCCGGCUAACUCUGUGCCAGCAGCCGCGGUAAGACAGAGGGGGCAAGCGUUGUCCGGAGUCACUGGGCGUAAAGCGCGCGCAGGCGGCUGCCUAAGUGUCGUGUGAAAGCCCCCGGCUCAACCGGGGGAGGCCAUGGCAAACUGGGUGGCUCGAGCGGCGGAGAGGUCCCUCGAAUUGCCGGUGUAGCGGUGAAAUGCGUAGAGAUCGGCAGGAAGACCAAGGGGGAAGCCAGGGGGCUGGCCGCCGGCUGACGCUGAGGCGCGACAGCGUGGGGAGCAAACCGGAUUAGAUACCCGGGUAGUCCACGCCGUAAACGAUGACCA